CGAAGGGAUGCAGCAGCAAUUCAUGUUUUGGAGUAUUAUCAAGGUUCAAAACAUGAUGCGCUGCAACACCCCUUCGCGGGGAA
rnacentral:pre_miRNA from 1 species